rnacentral:rRNA from 1 species
GAAAAAUUAGCGGAUGACUUGUGGCUGGGGGUGAAAGGCCAAUCAAACCGGGAGAUAGCUGGUUCUCCCCGAAAGCUAUUUAGGUAGCGCCUCGUGAAUUCAUCUCCGGGGGUAGAGCACUGUUUCGGCAAGGGGGUCAUCCCGACUUACCAACCCGAUGCAAACUGCGAAUACCGGAGAAUGUUAUCACGGGAGACACACGGCGGGUGCUAACGUCCGUCGUGAAGAGGGAAACAACCCAGACCGCCAGCUAAGGUCCCAAAGUCAUGGUUAAGUGGGAAACGAUGUGGGAAGGCCCAGACAGCCAGGAUGUUGGCUUAGAAGCAGCCAUCAUUUAAAGAAAGCGUAAUAGCUCACUGGUCGAGUCGGCCUGCGCGGAAGAUGUAACGGGGCUAAACCAUGCACCGAAGCUGCGGCAGCGACGCUUAUGCGUUGUUGGGUAGGGGAGCGUUCUGUAAGCCUGUGAAGGUGUGCUGUGAGGCAUGCUGGAGGUAUCAGAAGUGCGAAUGCUGACAUAAGUAACGAUAAAGCGGGUGAAAAGCCCGCUCGCCGGAAGACCAAGGGUUCCUGUCCAACGUUAAUCGGGGCAGGGUGAGUCGACCCCUAAGGCGAGGCCGAAAGGCGUAGUCGAUGGGAAACAGGUUAAUAUUCCUGUACUUGGUGUUACUGCGAAGGGGGGACGGAGAAGGCUAUGUUGGCCGGGCGACGGUUGUCCCGGUUUAAGCGUGUAGGCUGGU